AGUGGUGUAUAGAAACAGGCUACCACAACAGACUCUAGAAGCACCCUUCAAUCUUUCUCAUUCCGCGAAAAAACAGACGCGAGAUGACUCUUUUAUUCUAACUAUCUUCAUUAGUUUAUGCUACCCUUUCACUUCUCUUCAUCUUCUCAAUUGGGUCUAACUAACUUUGGUAUGUUUUUCUUUUAAUUUUUGCCCAAAUCUUCUUUCGUUCUCUAUAGAUUUUUUAAUUUUAUGGCUGAAAUUCUGCCUAGCCUUCUUCAACUUUCUCCGGCCUUCAUUUUCUUUCGAAGUUUGUAAUUUGUUUAAUCUGUCAUCAGCUAAAAAAGGUCUUGAUUUUUGCACAAUUCAGACACUAGAUAUUUUCGUUUUUAUGCAUGUUAAUGUGUCAAGAGAGAAACUUUAAUGGAUUUUCUUUUCGGAAUUUCGAGUAUAAUUAUUCUUUGGCUACUUGAUAUCAUCUUACGGCUCUAAUUUUUUCAGUUGAUGUUUCUUAUUGGAAAAUUUAUGCUCCUUCUCUAUUCUUUGUGCACAAAUUUAUUCAUCUUGCAAUAAACUUUGUGGAAGUAUUGACACUUAAUUUGGAUUUGCAUUUGGACAAACUAGCCCCUUUUUGUAGAAGUACAACAAAUUGUGUCAUUGCCAUGUCUGCAUGUUGUUCUUUUCUCUUGCAUUUGCUUUGUUUAUUGCUAAUAUAAAGGAUUUGUUCGUUUUAUUCAUUUCAGGUCGUCUUAAUCAUAAUCAGACGCACUAUCAAUUCAUUUUAGGUUUUCUCUCAAAGUUUGAUUAUGUAAUUAUGAAGUAUAUUGUGUGUUCACAUAAGUUGUUUUGUUUGUGAUAUAUGCCAAUGAAAUUUAUUUUAUAUUUUACAUAUUGUAUAUCCAUAUUAAUCAAUGUUAAACAUGUAGUUAAAAUUUGAGUUUAGCAUUUUUUUUUCAAGCCUCGAUCUUUAGAAAAAUAUUCAGGGCUUGAAGCAGCUAAUAGGGCUUUUUUUACUCUAUUUUGUUGCAAAAAAUGGUCGCUUAAUUGAAUUUAUUUUUAUAAUGUACAAGUUCAAUUAUAUAUAUUGAAUGAUGCUAACUUAUCUGGCA
rnacentral:lncRNA from 1 species